rnacentral:misc_RNA from 1 species
UAAGCAAUCAGUAAUAAAUAAUGAUAUUAAGAAUAGAGAAUAAAUGAAAAGCAAUACUUGCCAAAAGAAAAGGAAUAUGAUAUAUAUCAUUUAUCUGUUUUAUUUUAAUGAGUUCCUCUGAUGGUACUGCCUGGGAUUGAUCCUCCCCUUAAGGAACAACCUCAGGAGGCCAUUGGUACAAUUCCUCCAAGUUGUACAAAAGGUGAGGGGGCAUCAUGGAAAAACCCAAAUUUUUAUAAUUCAACAGGCCAUAAACCUAAACUAAUGCCUCCAUCGCCGAGUACCGUUUAUUCAGCAAAUGUCUAGGAGUUUGUAACAAACCCCUUUUAAGCAACAUUCUAGAGCAGCUUAUUGAACUUGCAGCUCUCUUCUUAA